rnacentral:rRNA from 1 species
UACGGAGGGGGCUAGCGUUGUUCGGAAUUACUGGGCGUAAAGCGCGCGUAGGCGGACCUGCAAGUCGGGGGUGAAAACUCGAGGCUCAACCUCGAGACGUCGGCGGAAACCAUCUGGCUAGAGUCCGGAAGAGGAGAGUGGAAUUCCUGGUGUAGCGGUGAAAUGCGCAGAUAUCAGGAAGAACACCCGUGGCGAAGGCGGCUCUCUGGGACGGUACUGACGCUGAGACGCGAAAGCGUGGGGAGCGAACAGG